rnacentral:rRNA from 1 species
GACGAACGCUGGCGGCGUGCUUAACACAUGCAAGUCGAACGGUAAGGCCCUUCGGGGUGCACGAGUGGCGAACGGGUGAGUAACACGUGGGUGAUCUGCCCUGCACUUCGGGAUAAGCCUGGGAAACUGGGUCUAAUACCGGAUAGGACUCCUGGCUUCAUGGUUGGGGGUGGAAAGCUUUUGCGGUGUGGGAUGGGCCCGCGGCCUAUCAGCUUGUUGGUGGGGUAAUGGCCUACCAAGGCGACGACGGGUAGCCGGCCUGAGAGGGUGACCGGUCACACUGGGACUGAGAUACGGCCCAGACUCCUACGGGAGGCAGCAGUGGGGAAUAUUGCACAAUGGGCGCAAGCCUGAUGCAGCGACGCCGCGUGAGGGAUGACGGCCUUCGGGUUGUAAGCCUCUUUCAGCUAUGACGAAGCGCAAGUGACGGUAGUAGCAGAAGAAGGACCGGCCAACUACGUGCCAGCAGCCGCAGUAA